GCCCGCGUGGCACAAUUGGUCAGCGCGUAUGUUCAGCCAUAAUAUAGUAUUAAUAAUUGAUUACUAAGCAAAACACAGGUGAGACUUUUACUUGCUCUAAAUAGUGAGAUCUCAAGGUUGAGAGUUCGAGCCUCUCCGCGGGCG